GGUGAUCUCAUAGUAUGCAAGGGAUUAUUUGGAGAAGGUACAAUAAGAUGCUGAGAAGAAAGUACAUUCUUUUGUUUAGGAUGAAAUGUUCUAUAAAUGUCUGUUAAAUCCAUUGGGUUCAUAACUUCUGUUUGUUACUCUAUGUCUCUGUUUAGUUUUUGUUUCCAUGAUCUGUCCAUUGAUGAGAGUUGGGUGUUGAAAUCUCCCACAAUUAUUGUGUUGAAAGACCCUCAGAGAGAAUCUUCCUUCGGAAAGGAGAUCCCCAAGCCCAAUGACCAGGCCGAGUCCACUCGGAUGCAAUCAGCAAGAGGGUUUAUUGGAAAACACAGGUACUUGCGGGCACACAGUCUCUUUGGAGGACUUGCGCGCCCAGCAGCUCCAGCAUGGGGCUUUUAUAGGGUUUGGGGAAGCAGAAGAGGGCAUAUAGAAGCAGAUGCAUGGUUACAGGGACUUGAUUGGUGGAUUCAAAUGAGGCGCGGAUGCAUGGUUACGCAGCAAAAGAGUCCGGAAUGUCAGGGGCUAGGGGCUUAUCCCUUCCUGCCAGAUGGCCUAUGAGUCAGUUCUGAUACCUCAGGCUGGUUCUGCAUUCCUUCUUCCUUAUCUUAGUGGUCUGUCAGUUUUAGGGCCUGGGCCUGCCCAAG
rnacentral:lncRNA from 1 species